UACGUAGGGGGCAAGCGUUGUCCGGAUUUACUGGGCGUAAAGGGCGCGUAGGCGGCGCGGUAAGUCACUUGUGAAAUCUCUGAGCUUAACUCAGAUCGGCCAAGUGAUACUGCAGUGCUAGAGUGUGGAAGGGGCAAUCGGAAUUCUUGGUGUAGCGGUGAAAUGCGUAGAUAUCAAGAGGAACACCUGAGGUGAAGACGGGUUGCUGGGCCAACACUGACGCUGAUGCGCGAAAGCCAGGGGAGCAAACGGG
rnacentral:rRNA from 1 species